GACGAACGCUGGCGGCGUGCUUAACACAUGCAAGUCGAGCGGAAAGGCCCUUUCGGGGGUACUCGGGCGGCGAACGGGGGAGUAACACGUGAGUAAUCUGCCCUUGGCUUUGGGAUAACCACCGGAAACGUUGGCUAAUACCGGAUAUGACGCGCCCCGCCACUGGGGUGUGUGGAAAGUUUUUUCGCCCAGGGAUGUGCUCGCGGCCUCUCAGCUUGUUGGUGGGGUAAUGGCCUACCAAGGCUUCGACGGGUAGCCGGCCUGAGAGGGUGAGCGGCCACACUGGGACUGAGACACGGCCCAGACUCCUACGGGAGGCAGCAGUGGGGAAUAUUGGACAAUGGGCGGAAGCCUGAUCCAGCAACGCCGCGUGAGGGAUGACGGCCUUCGGGUUGUAAACCUCUUUCAGUACCGACGAAGCGCCGAUGAUGGUGGUGACGGUAGGUACAGAAGAAGCACCGGCCAACUACGUGCCAGCCGCCGCGGUAA
rnacentral:rRNA from 1 species